UCGUAACAAGGUUUCCGUAGGUGAACCUGCGGAAGGAUCAUUACUGAGUGAGGGCCCUCUGGGUCCAACCUCCCACCCGUGUUUAUUGUACCUUGUUGCUUCGGCGGGCCCGCCUUUACGGCCGCCGGGGGGCUCACGCUCCCGGGCCCGCGCCCGCCGAAGACACCCUCGAACUCUGUCUGAAGAUUGUAGUCUGAGUGGAAUUAUAAAUUAUUUAAAACUUUCAACAACGGAUCUCUUGGUUCCGGCAUCGAUGAAGAACGCAGCGAAAUGCGAUACGUAAUGUGAAUUGCAGAAUUCAGUGAAUCAUCGAGUCUUUGAACGCACAUUGCGCCCCCUGGUAUUCCGGGGGGCAUGCCUGUCCGAGCGUCAUUGCUGCCCUCAAGCACGGCUUGUGUGUUGGGCCCCGUCCCCCAAUCCCGGGGGACGGGCCCGAAAGGCAGCGGCGGCACCGCGUCCGGUCCUCGAGCGUAUGGGGCUUUGUCACCCGCUCUGUAGGCCCGGCCGGCGCUUGCCGAUCAACCAAACUUUUAUCCAGGUUGACCUCGGAUCAGGUAGGGAUACCCGCUGAACCUAAGCAUAUC
rnacentral:misc_RNA from 1 species